AAAAAUUUGAGUGAAGACGGCGAGGAGGAUGCGAAACGUAUCUCACGCCUCCGAGCCGAGCCGUCCGUUUAGCGCCCCCCACCCCGGCCCCCGGCUUCGACGGCCCAGGUUUUCACCGGUUCGGAUCCUGGGCGCAGCCCCAGACCCAGCAUCGCCCUUCAAGCCACGCCGAGGCGGCGUCCCACAUAGCAGAAACGCGAAAGACCUACCACUGGAACCUACAACUAUGGACGGGACGGGACGGGACGGGGCGGGGCGGGGCGGGGCGGGGCGGGGGGGUGGGGGGGGGGGCGGCUUUGGGGAGCAGGAAGAAAGAAAAAAUAAAAGAAACACAAGGACGGUCAUCGCGAUAGUUCUUUCCACUUCCAUCCAUAUGUUAACAGGACCCAAGUUUCCCGACCUCCAUUUGGAUGUAUGUUAACUAAAUGGAGAAGCUAUUCAAAGGACUCCUCUAAAGAAGUCCACGUUCUUCUUUCUAAAUGAUAAUGAAAAUCAUUGUCACCACCGCUCUUCCGACCCUCCAUGUCCAGACGGCCUCCCGCCCCUCCCCUAUCCCCAACUCCCGCCCCGCCCCGCGCCGACCCCCGACCCCGGCAUUCUCCACGCCCACCUUUCCCUCUCCACUCCCAC
ensembl:lncRNA